GUCAACAUGAACUUGACAUCACAGAAGACCAACUGGCAACUGCAAUUGUGUAUUUCACCGGUGUGGUAACAAACUGUUAUACUGUAGAAAAUCACCUGGAAUGCUUUAACACAGAGGUUACAAAACUGAUUGAACAGAUUGAAACUGCCCUUGAAGAGUACUAAGGAUUUCAGAUGAGCAAUGUGAGAAUGCUGGAGCUAAAGGCCCAAUAUGCCAAGGCACCCCUGGUGUUGCUUGCUUUCUGAUUAAAUGGAAACCUGGAAUUUGAUUUUUUUUCUGUGACUUUUCACCUUCCAUGACAGUGCAAA